ACUCAAAUCGCACUUGUCAACACGAGAACCGCUUGUUUUGAACAACGAACACAAUCCACUCCGCAAAAACUUACUACAUAGUAGUUCAAACACCAAAACCUGUGAAAAAACUUACUACAUAGUAGUUCAAACACCAAGACCUGUGAAAAAGAAAACGAGUUAAACAAACAACGAAUUUUGCUUCAAAUUUAAAUGUGCACACACGCACUAUCACCUACUGCUAUACAUAGAUACUCCCCACAUAACUCCUACAUGACUACAUGACUACAUAGUUUAUAUAUAACUAUAUAUUACUACAUGUGACUACACCAUAUAUUACUGUAUGUUACUACACGUGACUAUAUAUUACUAUAUGUGACUACACCAUAUAUUAUUGUAUGUUACUACACAUGACUAUAUAUGACUACAUGUAUAUGACCACAUGUGACUAUAUACAUGUAUGUGACUUUAUUUGUCCCUUAAAGUACCUGACUUUGUUCUCCAGGCGAUACGGAACAGCUUAUAUUAUCAAAAUCAAAUUACAAACAGAGUAUGCUAAUCAUUAUUCUCCGUAUAACCAAAGGUCAAAGAUCAAAGCAAGUUGAAGUGGAACAU
rnacentral:lncRNA from 1 species